GUGCUCGCUUCAGCAGCACAUAUACUAAAAAAGAAUUGGAAUGAUACAGAGAUUAGCAUGUUCCCAGUGUAAGGAUGACAUGCAAAUUUGUAAAAGCAGUCCAAAUUUUU
rnacentral:snRNA from 1 species